UACGUAGGGGGCGAGCGUUGUCCGGAAUUACUGGGCGUAAAGAGCUCGUAGGUGGUUUGUCGCGUUGUUCGUGAAAACUCACAGCUUAACUGUGGGCGUGCGGCGAUACGGGCAGACUGGAGUACUGCAGGGGAGACUGGAAUUCCUGGUGUAGCGGUGGAAUGCGCAGAUAUCAGGAGGAACACCGGUGGCGAAGGCGGGUCUCUGGGCAGGAACUGACGCUGAGGAGCGAAAGCGUGGGGAGCGAACAGG
rnacentral:rRNA from 1 species